AAAUUGGGAGCUGAUGGCUCGGAUUUAGAUGUUGACGAUGUUAGGUAUAAUAUACCGGAGAAGAUGUCAGUGAUGAAGAGAUUGAAGCUUCAGAAUUGGAGAAGCGGAUGUGGAAGGAUCGUAUCAAACUCAAAAGGAUCAAAGAGAAAGAAAAGCUUUUAG